rnacentral:rRNA from 1 species
AGUGAACGCUGGCGGUAGGCCUAACACAUGCAAGUCGAACGGCAGCACAGUAAGAGCUUGCUCUUACGGGUGGCGAGUGGCGGACGGGUGAGGAAUACAUCGGAAUCUACUUUUUCGUGGGGGAUAACGUAGGGAAACUUACGCUAAUACCGCAUACGACCUACGGGUGAAAGCAGGGGAUCUUCGGACCUUGCGCGAUUGAAUGAGCCGAUGUCGGAUUAGCUAGUUGGCGGGGUAAAGGCCCACCAAGGCGACGAUCCGUAGCUGGUCUGAGAGGAUGAUCCGCCACACUGGAACUGAGACACGGUCCAGACUCCUACGGGAGGCAGCAGUGGGGAAUAUUGGACAAUGGGCGCAAGCCUGAUCCAGCCAUACCGCGUGGGUGAAGAAGGCCUUCGGGUUGUAAAGCCCUUUUGUUGGGAAAGAAAAGCAGCAGGUUAAUACCCCGCUGUUCUGACGGUACCCAAAGAAUAAGCACCGGCUAACUUCGG